UUGUUGACAUAGGUAAUUCUACAGCCGCCCUCUUCAAACACCCCCACCCCUCCGUCAAGUACAAAUGGUAACGGAGCUUUCUGAAAUGACUUCUUCCGUUCAUUCUAUGCAGGAAUUAUGUUUCAUCAACACUCCGCUCGUAGGCUCAGGCGGCAUUCAAUUGGAACUUGUUUCGAAUGAUUCUCUGGUUAAUUUGACGACAGUUCAAGAUGGAAACAAUUGAUGAUUCAACAAAAAAUCGUAUGUUAGGCGUUAAUGUUAAUUUAUUCUCACACAUUAUGGAGGAAAUGGUCGAAAGUGAGUUUUGAGAAGCGGAGCUCAGAUAAUUGAAGUUUUCUUAUCAAGAUGGAUUCUAUAGCUUCUAUAUUGGAAUUUCAAGAUCUAAAGCAAUAAAGUAACUUUCUGUGUUAA